AGCAGUCGCCGCGGUAACACGGAGGGGGCUAGCGUUGUUCGGAAUUACUGGGCGUAAAGCGCACGUAGGCGGCUUGGUAAGUUAGAGGUGAAAGCCCGGAGCUCAACUCCGGAAUUGCCUUUAAGACUGCAGAGCUAGCAGGUGAGAGAGGUGAGUGGAAUUCCGAGUGUAGAGGUGAAAUUCGUAGAUAUUCGGAAGAACACCAGUGGCGAAGGCGGCUCACUGGCUCAUACUGGACGCUGAGGUGCGAAAGCGUGGGGAGCAAACAGGAUUAGAUACCCGCGUAGUCCCUGUCUCUUAUAC
rnacentral:rRNA from 1 species